rnacentral:rRNA from 1 species
GAUGAACGCUGGCGGCGUGCUUAACACAUGCAAGUCGAACGAACUCAGUCUUUCGGGAUUGGGUUAGUGGCAGACGGGUGCGUAACACGUGGGUGACCUGCCCUGAAGUGGGGAAUAACUAUCUUAACGGAUGGCUAAUACCGCAUGUGCUCAGCGAUUCAUUUCGCUGCGUAAAGUCGCAAGACGCUUUGGGAUGGGCCUGCGGCGGAUUAGGUAGUUGGUGGGGUAAUGGCCUACCAAGCCGAUGAUCCGUAGGGGGCGUGAGAGCGUGGCCCCCCACACUGGCACUGAGAUACGGGCCAGACUCCUACGGGAGGCUG